rnacentral:tRNA from 1 species
GGAGGCGUGGCAGAGUGGUUGAAUGCACCGGUCUUGAAAACCGGCGAAGGUGCGAGCCUUCCGUGAGUUCGAAUCUCACCGCCUCCGCCA